AACAUGUCUUUUAGUUUAAAAUUUAAAGUCUAACCUGCCCUAUGAUAAUUUAUUAAAUGGCCGCGGUAUUCUGACUGUGCAAAGGUAGCAUAAUCAUUUGUCUCUUAAUUAGAGGCUGGAAUGAAUGGUUGAAUGAAAUAUUAACUGUCUCAUUUUUAAAAUUAUAAAAAUUUAGCUUUUAAGUCAAAAGGCUUAAAUAUUUUUAGAGGACGAGAAGACCCUAUAGAUCUUUAUAAUUUUUUUAAUUUUAUAAAAUAGAAAAAUAUUUAAUAAAAUUAAAUAAAUUAUUUUAUUGGGGUGAUAGGAAAAUUUAAUUAACUUUUUUUAAUAAAUUAACAUUGAUUUAUGAUUAAUUGAUCCAUUUUUAGUGAUUAUAAGAUUAAGUUACCUUAGGGAUAACAGCGUAAUUUUUUUAGAGAGUUCUUAUCGAUAAAAAAGAUUGCGACCUCGAUGUUGAAUUAAAGGUUAUUUCUAGAUGUAGCAGUUUAGAGUUUAGGUCUGUUCGACCUUUGAAUCUUUACAUGAUC
rnacentral:rRNA from 1 species